AGAAAGGAGUCUGAGUGACACAGCCAUGCAAGCCGAUAAGGAGGGGUCACAUGGGCCAGGUGGGAGGGCAAUUUGCCCCAGCUCCUAUGCCACCCACUGAAAGUCACCAACCUCAGAAUCCCCUGGUUUGCCCACAGGAUGGCCUAGUAUCCAGACACUAAAAACUCCUUCUUAUGAGGAGGUUCGAUCAGAGAUGCCUGUGGUUGCUAUUCCAUGGAAGAAAGGCAAGUUAGACAUGAAGAUGUUCAGUCUUGUAAAGCCAGUCAACACAGGACAGCACUAUGAGAACAUUCUGACAAUUAUCUGCAGAUGUGCGAUUGGAGACUACCUAGACCUGCCAUGGCCCAGAAGUCUGCUGCUGUCCAGGACUAUAAGUGUGUUCUACUUUGAUUGCCAUGCACUUGGGAUAUGGCUGGUCCAAAGUGAGAUGUUCUUCUAAUGCAAAGUGCACAUGAGAUGUUGACAGUGAGAGAAGGAAAAAGAGCAUGGAUGUCUCGUUGAUGAAUUUAUAUCAAUUAUGCAUGGGAAUGGUAUCCUAGAGUUAUUGUAUUUAAUAAAAAUGUAUUAAAGUGCUUUUAA